ACAUAAUAUUGUGGACUAAAAAAUGGAAAUAAAGGGUCGAAUUGCAAAUUAGACAUGCAGUCAUGCAAACAUGCAUUCCUCCCUCGUUUCGCGUCCUUCUUCGCUGCCAGAUAUGCCCGUGCAUCUGGGACUUCUACUGCUGUUUUCUCGUUCAACACGGGCCUUCUGCUUUGGGUUUUAGUAUCUGUAGGCCUUCCGUUAGUGACGCCUGCGUUUUUCUUAGUGCUGGUUUGACGAUUUUCGUUUCUUCCCAUUUGACAGUUAUAUUAUCUGCAUAGGCUGCUUCAGCUAGGGCGGUGUUUGUGUUGCCUUGUGCUGUGUCUCGUCUGUGUUCCUUGGUUCUGUAGUUGAGCGUUCGAGUUGUGGCUCCGAUGUGUGAUGUCAUUUGUCC
rnacentral:lncRNA from 1 species